GCUUGUCUCAAAGAUUAAGCCAUGCAUGUGUAAGUAUCAGAAGUCUGAACUUCAAAACUGCGAAUGGCUCAUUAUAUCAGUUAUAGUUUAUUUGAUAGUACCUUACUACUUGGAUAACCGUAGUAAUUCUAGAGCUAAUACAUGCGUAAAGGGUGCUGAAAGGCAUCUGUGUUUAUUAGAUACAACCAACCCCUCGCGGGUUUAGGUGAUUCAUAAUAACCGAACGAACCGCGUUCAGCGGUGAUUCUUUCUACAUUAUUCCCUAUCAGCUUUCGUUUUUUGUGUAGUGGACAAAAAAGGCUUUGACGGGUAACGGAGAAUUAGGGUUCGAUUCCGGAGAGGGAGCCUGAGAGAUGGCUACCACAUCCAAGGAAGGCAGCAGG
rnacentral:rRNA from 1 species